AUCUAUCUGACGAGUCCUAAAUUAGGACGAAACGCGCUUCGUGGAU
rnacentral:hammerhead_ribozyme from 1 species